rnacentral:rRNA from 1 species
UACCAGCACCCCGAGUGGUCGGGACGUUUUAUUGGGCCUAAAGCAUCCGUAGCCGGUUCUACAAGUCUUCCGUUAAAUCCAACUGCUUAACAGGUGGGCUGCGGAAGAUACUAUAGAGCUAGGAGGCGGGAGAGGCAAGCGGUACUCGAUGGGUAGGGGUAAAAUCCGUUGACCCAUUGAAGACCACCAGUGGCGAAGGCGGCUUGCCAGAACGCGCUCGACGGUGAGGGAUGAAAGCUGGGGGAGCAAACCGG